rnacentral:rRNA from 1 species
AUGGUGCAUGAACACCAUCAUUGCUGGAUCAAACCACAUAGGCUAGAUCGUGAGUUUUCACCCAGAAGACAAGGACCAGCUAAGCUCCAAACAGUGUCUUCAACAAGGGAGCGGAACCGUCACUGCCAGGUACAACCAGUAAAGGCUGGACCUAGGGUUUUCACCCCGGAACCUAGGACCUGGUAUUCAAAGAGCACCACCAUAGACGAAGUCCCUGUGUUGUCACCACCAACUUGCCAUAGAAGAAGUCCAGAUGCAAUGUCUCGAUCAGCACUGAAAUUUUGGAUCAAAGUGAACACCACACAUCAGGCAUUUACUGAGACGACAGAUCUGAGAACACAGACAACGCUGACUGUGCUAGCAUCAAUGCCGAUGUGA